AUGAGAGACAUUAUCAGCAGUGGUGAUGCAGAAUUAGCCCCUCCUUUGUCUGAUGGCGAGACUGCAUGGUACAUCCCACACCAUGGGGUAUAUCACCCGAAAAAACCAGCCAAGCUAAGAGUCGUCUUUGACUGUUCAGCAAAAUUUCUUGGUGUCUCAUUAAACGACACUCUUCUCACAGGUCCAGAUAUGAUCAACUCAUUGGUGGGGGUACUCUGUCGUUUCAGAAAGGAAAAUGUAGCCAUAAUCUGUGAUAUCGAGAGAAUGUUCCACCAGUUCUCUGUUUGUCCACACAUGCGCAACUAUCUGAGAUUUCUGUGGUGGCAGGAUGGACAAUUAGACACAGAACCCAGAGAGUACAGAAUGGCUGUAAAUCUAUUCGGUGCCAGUUCAUCCCCUGGAUGUGCUAAUUUUGGCCUGAAAUACUUAGCACAACAGUACAGAGCAGACUAUCCUAAGGCCUCAGAGUUUGUUGAACAGAACUUUUAUGUAGACGAUGGUCUAACUAGUGUCCCAUCAGUUAAAGAGGCACAAGAACUCGUCACCGAAACGCAAGCGCUUUGUAGACUUGGUGGUCUACAUCUGUACAAGUUCAACUCAAACCAAAGCGAUGCGCUUUCACAGCUGGAACCCUCAGACAGAGCAGACACCACAGAACCGCUCGAUCUCAAACCUGACACAACAGCUGAAGGCCAUGUGCUCGGCAUCCAGUCGUCAAUCAAAAAUGACACUUUCAGUUUCAAAAUAAACACUAAGGACCAGCCUCCUACUCGCCGGACCAUACUGUCAGUGAUCUCAUCCCUGUAUGACCCACUAGGGUUCGUUGCUCCCUUCACCUUAAGAGGCAAAGGUAUCCUACAGGAACUGUGUCACAGAGGCACUGAAUGGGAUGACCCCCUUCCUGACAACUUACGUUCACGGUGGGAGGACUGGAAAGAUGGUUUGGAAAGACUAAAAUCGGUUGUAGUGCCUAGAUGUUACCACCCACCAGAACUGACAGACAUUGUAAAGGUGGAAUUGCACCACUUUUGUGAUGCUAGUGAUUUAGGAUAUGGUGCAUGCUCUUAUAUUAGGUACCUCAGCAACGAGAAGGUACACUGUAGUCUUGUUAUGGCUAAGGCAAGAGUCGUACCUACCAAGGUCACAAGUAUCCCACGAUUAGAACUCUCAGCCGCAGUCACAUCAGCCAGAAUGAGCAGCAUGCUAAAAGCAGAGCUUCAGAUGUGCAUUAAUGAAGAGUUCUUUUGGACUGACUCCCAAGUAGUCUUAGCCUAUAUUAACAAUGAGGCGCGACGGUUCCACGUCUUUGUUGCUAACCGUGUUCAGUUAAUUAGGCAAACUACAGAUCCCAAACAGUGGCACUACAUUGACACAGCUCAGAAUCCUGCAGAUUACGCCUCUAGAGGGCUCAGUGCAUCAGAGAUCAUGCCAACAUGUUGGUUGUCUGGUCCAAAGUUUCUGUGGGAACAUGACAUUUCAUAUGCACCCAGCCCCUCAGAUGUGCUGUUAGUUGGGGAUCCAGAAGUCAAAGUAGUCAAAGCUCUCACAACUCAAACAAGUGAACAAGACAAUAACUCAGCUGUUUGUCAAGGUUUUCAAGCUGGUCAAUGCUCCUUAAAGUGGUUGCAAGGAUAA
rnacentral:lncRNA from 1 species